UUUUCUUGAAAAUUUCUUU
rnacentral:tRNA from 1 species